GCACUACCGAGAAGUCCCACAAUAGGACGAAACGGCCGUCAAGUAC
rnacentral:hammerhead_ribozyme from 1 species